rnacentral:rRNA from 1 species
UACGUAGGGACCAAGCGUUGUUCGGAUUUACUGGGCGUAAAGGGCGCGUAGGCGGCAAUUCAAGUCAGCUGUGAAAUCUCCGGGCUUAACUCGGAACGGCCAGCUGAUACUGCUUUGCUAGAGUGCAGAAGGGGCAAUCGGAAUUCUUGGUGUAGCGGUGAAAUGCGUAGAUAUCAAGAGGAACACCUGAGGUGAAGACGGGUUGCUGGGCUGACACUGACGCUGAGGCGCGAAAGCUAGGGUAGCAAACGGG